rnacentral:rRNA from 1 species
UACGUAGGGGGCAAGCGUUGUCCGGAAUCAUUGGGCGUAAAGAGCGUGUAGGCGGCUCGGUAAGUCCGCUGUGAAAGUCCAGGGCUCAACCCUGGAAUGCCGGUGGAAACUGUCGAGCUAGAGUCCGGAAGAGGCGAGUGGAAUUCCUGGUGUAGCGGUGAAAUGCGUAGAUAUCCGGAGGAACACCGGUGGCGAAGGCGGCUUCCUGGACCGACACUGACGCUGAGGCGCGAAAGCUAGGGGAGCAAACGGG